CAUUUGAAAACCAACCCAUUGAUGUCAAAAGCGACCCUAUAGGACAGAGUAGAACUGCCCCGUAGAGUUUCUAAGCAGCUGCUGAUGGAUUCGAACUGCCACCUUUUUUUGGUUAGAGCCGAGCUCUUAAUCAGGACCUUCCCUAUGUGGCCUGUCCCAGAAGAGGAUUAUACCCUAAUGUCAUCAAGGUUAUCCAGAUGACUUGUUUUGGUCAAUGAAAUGUGAAUAGAAGUGGCAUUAGCGAUCUCAUGAUUCUGUCUUUUUUUCCUCUGCUGUGGGAACUGCGUGUCCCAAAUAAAGCUGCUUUUUUUCACAGAGUGAAGAUGUAGUGCAAGCUGUAAUGUCAUAUGAGUAAGAAAUAAACCUUUGUUGUUGUAAGCCA